GGGAAGGUGGCUCAGUGGUAGAGCACUUGCCUUGCAUGCAUGAGGCCCUGGGUUCGAUUCCUCAACUUCACA
rfam:Dipodomys ordii contig_8035, whole genome shotgun sequence.